rnacentral:rRNA from 1 species
UNUGAACUGGGUGACUAGAGUGUGUCAGAGGGAGGUAGAAUUCCACGUGUAGCAGUGAAAUGCGUAGAGAUGUGGAGGAAUACCGAUGGCGAAGGCAGCNUCCUGGGAUAACACUGACGUUCAUGCCCGAAAGCGUGGGUAGCAAACAGGACUAGAUACCCUGGUAGUCCACGCCCUAAACGAUGUCGAUUAGCUGUUGGGCAGCAUGACUGCUUAGUAGCGAAGCUAACGCGUGAAAUCGACCGCCUGGGGAGUACGGUCGCAAGAUUAAAACUCAAAGGAAUUGACGGGGACCCGCACAAGCGGUGGAUGAUGUGGAUUAAUUCGAUGCAACGCGAAGAACCUUACCUGGUCUUGACAUGUACGGAACCCUCCAGAGACGGAGGGGUGCCUUCGGGAGCCGUAACACAGGUGCUGCAUGGCUGUCGUCAGCUCGUGUCGCGAGAUGUUGGGUUAAGUCCCGCAACGAGCGCAACCCUUGUCAUUAGUUGCCAUCAUUAAGUUGGGCACUCUAAUGAGACUGCCGGUGACAAGCCGGAGGAAGGUGGGGAUGACGUCAAGUCCUCAUGGCCCUUAUGACCAGGGCUUCACACGUCAUACAAUGGUCGGUACAGAGGGUAGCCAAGCCGCGAGGUGGAGCCAAUCUCACAAAACCGAUCGUAGUCCGGAUUGCACUCUGCAACUCGAGUGCAUGAAGUCGGAAUCGCUAGUAAUCGCAGGUCAGCAUACUGCGGUGAAUACGUUCCCGGGUCUUGUACACACCGCCCGUCACACCAUGGGAGUGGGGGAUACCAGAAGUAGG